rnacentral:rRNA from 1 species
GCAAUAGCUACUUGCAUCAUUGAAAAUAUGAUGCAAGAUCGACUAUGUCGAAUAAAAUUCUAGGUAGAAUUAUGAUAAUGACAUUGUCUGCCUAUGUGUCUUGACCAAAUUACGUGCCAGCAGUCGCGGUAAUACGUAGAAGACUAGUGUUAUUCAUGUUUAAUCGGUUUAAAGGGUACCUAGACGGUAAAUCAAGCCUAAAAGGAAGGAAAUAAAGGGACUAAUUUACUAGAGUUACUUAUGAGGGGGUAUUAAAGUACUGCUGGUGUAGAGAUGAAAUUCUGUCAUACCUCUUUUCAAUAGAAAAAUAAUGGCACAGGUAUAGGCGAAAGCAUCCCCUUAUGUGAUAACUGACGUUGAGGGACGAAGGCUUUGUGUAGCGAACAGGAUUAGAUACCCCAGUAGUCAAAGCAGAAAAUGAUGAAUGUCAUAGAUUAGAUAUAUAAGUUUAUUCUAUAAAUGAAAGUGUAAGCAUUCCACCUCAAGAGUAAUUUGGCAACAUUGGAACUGAAAUCAUUAGACCGUUUCUGAAACCAGUAGUGAAGUAUGUUGUUUAAUUUGAUAAUCCGCAAAAAACCUUACCACAAUUUGAAUAUUUAUAUUUUUUUUAUUGUUUUUCUUUUUAAUUUUCUUCCGAUUUUCUAGUUAAAGGAAAAUUAGAAGAAAAAGAAAAAAGAGGCAAUAAG